rnacentral:rRNA from 1 species
AACGGAAGUUUCGGAUGGAAGUUUAGAAACUUAGUGGCGGACGGGUGAGUAACGCGUGGGUAACCUGCCUCAUACAGGGGGAUAACAGUUAGAAAUGACUGCUAACACCGCAGAAUAUAGCGAAACCGCAUGAUUUUGCUAUCAAAUAUUUAUAGGUAUGAGAUGGGCCCGCGUCUGAUUAGCUAGUUGGUGGGGUAAAAGCCUACCAAGGCGACGAUCAGUAGCCGGCUUGAGAGAGUGACCGGCCACAUUGGGACUGAGACACGGCCCAAACUCCUACGGGAGGCAGCAGUGGGGAAUAUUGGACAAUGGGGGGAAACCCUGAUCCAGCGACGCCCGCGUGAGUGAAGAAGUAUUUCGGUAUGUAAAGCUCUAUCAGCAGGGAAGAUAAUGACAGUACCUGACUAAGAAGCCCCGGCUAACUACGUGCCAGCAGCAGC